rnacentral:rRNA from 1 species
GAGUUUGAUCCUGGCUCAGGAUGAACGCUGGCGGCGUGCUUAACACAUGCAAGUCGAACGGACUCAUAUUGAAACCUAGUGAUGUAUGAGUUAGUGGCGGACGGGUGAGUAACGCGUGGAAAACCUGCCGUAUACUGGGGGAUAACACUUAGAAAUAGGUGCUAAUACCGCAUAAGCGCACAGCUUCGCAUGAAGCAGUGUGAAAAACUCCGGUGGUAUACGAUGGUUCCGCGUCUGAUUAGCUAGUUGGCGGGGUAACGGCCCACCAAGGCGACGAUCAGUAGCCGGCCUGAGAGGGUGAACGGCCACAUUGGGACUGAGACACGGCCCAAACUCCUACGGGAGGCAGCAGUGGGGAAUAUUGCACAAUGGGGGAAACCCUGAUGCAGCGACGCCGCGUGAGUGAAGAAGUAUCUCGGUACGUAAAGCUCUAUCAGCAGGGAAGAAAUACUGACCAUAGGGUCAGCAGACGGUACUUGACUAAGAAGCCCCGGCUAACUACGUGCCAGCAGCCGCGGUAAUACGUAGGGGGCAAGCGUUAUCCGGAUUUACUGGGUGUAAAGGGAGCGUAGACGGCAGCGCAAGUCUGAAGUGAAAUGCCAGGGCUUAACCCUGGAACUGCUUUGGAAACUGUGCAGCUAGAGUGCA